UCUAGAACUCGAGAUAUGGGCUACACACUGAACAGUGUCUAGAGCGGCAAAUAACAAGAUGUGAACUUGAAAAUGACCCUUUUGAAUCUUGGACUCUUCAUAAAAGUUUUAGGCCUAUGUCUUAGCUUUCCAUC
rnacentral:pre_miRNA from 1 species